rnacentral:rRNA from 1 species
GACGAACGCUGGCGGCGUGCUUAACACAUGCCAGUCGAACGGAAAGGCCCUGCUUUUGUGGGGUACUCGAGUGGCGAACGGGUGAGUAACACGUGAGUAACCUGCCCUUGACUUUGGGAUAACUUCAGGAAACUGGGGCUAAUACCGGAUAGGAGCUCCUGCUGCAUGGUGGGGGUUGGAAAGUUUCGGCGGUUGGGGAUGGACUCGCGGCUUAUCAGCUUGUUGGUGGGGUAGUGGCUUACCAAGGCUUUGACGGGUAGCCGGCCUGAGAGGGUGACCGGCCACAUUGGGACUGAGAUACGGCCCAGACUCCUACGGGAGGCAGCAGUGGGGAAUAUUGCACAAUGGGCGGAAGCCUGAUGCAGCAACGCCGCGUGCGGGAUGACGGCCUUCGGGUUGUAAACCGCUUUCGCCUGUGACGAAGCGUGAGUGACGGUAAUGGGUAAAGAAGCACCGGCUAACUACGUG